CCUACGGGAGGCUGCAGUGGGGAAUAUUGGACAAUGGGGGCAACCCUGAUCCAGCCAUGCCGCGUGUGUGAAGAAGGCCCUCGGGUUGUAAAGCACUUUCAGUGAGGAAGAACGCCUGGUGGUUAAUACCCAUCAGGAAAGACAUCACUCACAGAAGAAGCACCGGCUAACUCCGUGCCAGCAGCCGCGGUAAUACGGAGGGUGCGAGCGUUAAUCGGAAUUACUGGGCGUAAAGCGCGCGUAGGUGGCUUGAUAAGCCGGUUGUGAAAGCCCCGGGCUUAACCUGGGAACGGCAUCCGGAACUGGCUAGCUAGAGUGCAGGAGAGGAAAGUGGAAUUCCCGGUGUAGCGGUGAAAUGCGUAGAGAUCGGGAGGAAUACCAGUGGCGAAGGCGGCCUUCUGGACUGACACUGACGCUGAGGUGCGAAAGCGUGGGUAGCAAACAGGAUUAGAUACCCGGGUAGUC
rnacentral:rRNA from 1 species